rnacentral:rRNA from 1 species
GAUGGCCUACCAAGGCUUUGACGGGUAACCGGCCUGAGAGGGUGACCGGUCACAUUGGGACUGAGAUACGGCCCAGACUCCUACGGGAGGCAGCAGUGGGGAAUUUUGCACAAUGGGCGAAAGCCUGAUGCAGCGACGCCGCCUGAGGGAUGACGGCCUUCGGGUUGUAAACCUCUUUCGCUCAUGGUCAAGGCUAGUUGUUGUUCUAGUUGAGGGUAGUGGGUAAAGAAGCGCCGGCUAACUACGUGCCAGCAGCCGCGGUAAUACGUAGGGCGCGAGCGUUGUCCGGAAUUAUUGGGCGUAAAGGGCUUGUAGGCGGCUUGUCGCGUCUGCCGUGAAAACCCAUAGCUUAACUGUGGGCUUGCGGUGGGUACGGGCUGGCUUGAGUGCGGUAGGGGAGACUGGAAUUCCUGGUGUAGCGGUGGAAUGCGCAGAUAUCAGGAGGAACACCGGUGGCGAAGGCGGGUCUCUGGGCCGUUACUGACGCUGAGGAGCGAAAGCGUGGGGAGCGAACAGGAUUAGAUACCCUGGUAGUCCACGCUGUAAACGUUGGGCACUAGGUGUGGGGGCCGCCCUUGGUUUCUGCGCCGUAGCUAACGCUUUAAGUGCCCCGCCUGGGGAGUACGGCCGCAAGGCUAAAACUCAAAGGAAUUGACGGGGGCCCGCACAAGCGGCGGAGCAUGCGGAUUAAUUCGAUGCAACGCGAAGAACCUUACCAAGGCUUGACAUGCACCGCGACACUGCAGAGAUGUGGUGGCCUUCGGGGUGGUGUGCAGGUGGUGCAUGGUUGUCGUCAGCUCGUGUCGUGAGAUGUUGGGUUAAGUCCCGCAACGAGCGCAACCCUUGCCCUAUGUUGCCAGCACGUGAUGGUGGGGACUCGUGGGGGACUGCCGGGGUUAACUCGGAGGAAGGUGGGGAUGACGUCAAAUCAUCAUGCCCCUUAUGUCUUGGGCUUCACGCAUGCUACAAUGGCUGGUACAGAGGGUUGCGAUACUGUGAGGUGGAGCGAAUCCCUUAAAGCUGGUCUCGGUUCGGAUUGGGGUCUGCAACUCGACCCCAUGAAGGUGGAGUCGCUAGUAAUCGCAGAUCAGCAACGCUGCGGUGAAUACGUUCUCGGGCCUUGUACACACCGCCCGUCACGUCACGAAAGUUGGUAACACCCGAAGCUCAUGGCCUAACCGUUU